rnacentral:rRNA from 1 species
AUGACCAUCGGCGCAAUAUGCGAUGAUCUGAGGAGACUUGGAGACAUCUAUAAUGGCGUCGAAGAGCUCAUCUGCCUACCAAGCAGCCAACUCUGCUCCUACCAGCAGAGGACUGUGUUGGAUGGAGAAAUGGAAGGUUCUCUCGAGCUACUAGAUCUCUGUGGCGCCAUGCAAGAAAUCUUUGCCGAGAUGAAGGCCUUCAUCCAAGAGAUGCAAGUGGCUCUACGGAAAGCGGAUGAUGCGGCUGCUCAAGCCAGGAUCCAAGCUUACACCCACUUGGCGAAGAAGGCCAAGAAUCAUUUCAAGAAGGCCGCAAAGAAGAUUUCUGCAGAUUGA